rnacentral:rRNA from 1 species
UACGUAGGGCGCAAGCGUUGUCCGGAAUUAUUGGGCGUAAAGAGCUCGUAGGCGGUUUGUCGCGUCUGCUGUGAAAACCUGAGGCUCAACCUCGGGCUUGCAGUGGGUACGGGCAGACUAGAGGUGCGGUAGGGGUGACUGGAAUUCCUGGUGUAGCGGUGGAAUGCGCAGAUAUCAGGGAGGAACACCCGAUGGGCGAAGGCAGGUCACUGGGCCGCAA